AAGUGACAAUCCACCAAAAUGCUGAAAGGUCAGAAGAUGAUAAGAGACACCAAAUAUCUGGGGAUUUCCACAGAUCCAGGAGCAGCAGGAAAGAGAGCCAAGAGAAAUGUGUCACUGAGCUGAACAAGGAUGGAGACUCCUGGAUUGGUCUACGGGCCACAGAAUGGACACAAACAGGAUGGAAAUGGAAAUGGGUGGACGACUCACAGCUGACAGUAAAGUUCUGGGCAACAGGACACCCGCACAGAAACAAUUAUUACACUGCAUGCUGCGAUAAACAAGGAAAAUGGACAACGAGCAGAUAUUAUGAUCAGAAGAACUGGAUCUGUGAGAAAGAGCUUUCCAGUUUAUCUUGAGGACAGAGGGGUGUGUAGUGUUGGAAUCAACUUUGUCAAAUCAGACCAACUCACAUUUUACAUUUCUUCAGUUGUUCAUUCUGUGUUGCAUCCUGAACAACCUGGAUUACAUAGAUAUUGUUCCUCUGCCCUACACAGUGAACAUUCUGGUUGGAA